AAUGGGUGAUUCCCAGGCCGGCAGGAGCUAGGGUAGAGAGCUGAAGAGGUCAGGUCUGCAGAGAGAGGAAACCCCAGGACCCCUCCAGCAUGGCAAGAUCACUGUGGUGGGCUGAGCCAUUAGGAGAGGAGAGGGAGGUGAAGGAGUGGAGGAGGUGUGGAGACAGAAGACAGACUGGAGUAGAAGCCUGGGCUUCCCACUUCGGGCUACAUGGUGGAAUCUUCUUGGGGAGCCCCACCCAGACCGAUGAAAUCACAAUGCAUGGGGUAGGACCCUCCCAAGAUAAAUUCCAGUGUUUUUUCAAAGCUCCCUGAGAAGUUUGCUGCUCAAUGCUUGAAGACUGACAUCAACAAGCCACAAAAUAAGGCUUCUCCUCCGCCUGGGGCCCUUGCUUGUCUGCUGUGGGGUGUCAGCACUGAGAAAGUGUCUGUCUGCUCAGAGGAAUACAUGGGUACACACUGUGCAGCUUGAGGCCAUCCUGCCUGGCGUCCACCAUGAGGCCAGCGGUUCGUGAAGACUCUCGCUGCUGAGGCCUCGGUGUCCUGUGAGAGCCGAGGGAUCGAAGCAAGGGCUCAGCACAUUCUCUGCAUCGUGCUGGCAGCUGACCUCGAUGCACAGAGCAGUACUGGCAGCCCUUCUGAGACAUUCCCCUUAAGGCCCAUUUGCCUGUGAGUGACAUCUAUGUGGGACUUGCAUUCCCCAGGAAGGAGCGCUGUGAGCAGCAGGAAGCUGACCUCACCACCCUGAGGUACUGUAUCCUCUCUUCUCCUGGAGGGCAGCUGGCCUGGUCUCCUGGGGACCCGAUAGGUCUGUAGGUCUGAUGCUGUUCUCCAUGGGUAUUGGUCCUAUGGGAGUGGGGGAGGGGAUGCAGAAGCUCAGCUGCUGAAAAAGAUAUUAAUAUCAUUCUGCAGAGUUGCUUUCAGUUGGAGCAAAUCUCCCUAUGUGGCCCAGACUGGCUUCAAACUGAUGGCAAUCCUCCUGCCUCAGCCCCCUGAGUGCCAAGAUCACAGAUAUGCACCAGCAUGCCUGGCUGAAAAUGAAGUUCUCGGGUGUGUGUGUAAGCCCCCAGUUAGUGGUCCUACAGAACAAAGAAAGCACCUGUCAGUCACCCAGCCUCCACCAUCCAGGCAGUGCAGCUGCUGCUUGGCCGUGUGAUUGACAGGCAGACCAAUCUGUAAACUGCAGAUGUCUAUGCCACAGGAGGGGUGAUGCUCCUCUGUGCUGUCACCGGCAGAUGAGGUGAGAUGCCUUGCUGCUGACUAGACAAUUGGUACUUUUCUGGCUGACAGAGAUGGAAUAUUGUUCCUGCCUCCCUGCUAGGAAACAGAACUGUCUGCCACUGAACACAGAUAGUCUUGGUUAUCUGGUUAUGAGUCUCAAAAAUGGGCUCUGGACAGCGGAAUUAGCAUUGCCUUGGAACCUGGAACUCAAAGAUCCUUUGUUGGUUCCACCUGCACUGCCUAGUGGGUCGGACUAGACGAAGCCAAGGCUCUUCGGGAUAGGAAAUGGAAAAUGCCUGAGAGCCAUGGCAGAGCAUAUGGGCUAAGAAGAGGGCCUGGGUAGUGCUGGGGACCCUGGUUCUUCUGGGUCUGACACAGGAAUACCACAUAUGCAAGGGAAAGCUGGAGCAGCUGGAAGAACAGGAGGGUGUGGAAGACAGGGCAAGUUCACUCUUGCUCUGAGAAUGGCUGUGGCUCACGAGUCCCUUUCCCUUCCCUGGACUGGCAACCACCAUGUGGACACAGCCAGCCCCUCGGCUCCUUCAACUGAGUACAGGGCCGUGUGAAAAUGUGGUAGCAAAUGCUAGUUUGGCUGAUACAGCAAGCCAAUCACCACACCGGGGUGGAUGUGCAGGUGUCUAGCCAGCUGCACCCUGCACACUAGGGCGGCCGGACCACCCCGCCACCACCUUGGUGGAAACAGGGCAAAAAUGGAAACUCUAGACUCUGCUACCUGUACCUGUCUCCUGCAGUCCUUGGUGGGCCUGUCCCUUUGGCUAGAACAUGUUUCAACACUGUCAUCAAAGAGACACAGCAGGCAUCUCUGUGUCAACACAGAUACUGGCCUCCCUUCUAUCCUGUCCAUCGCUGGAAUCGUAAAGCCAAAUGUGUCUGGCUGGUCGCCUGCUAUGUGAGCAAUGGAAAAAAGCCAAAAAUAAGCACUGCAAGUUGAUGACUCUGGACCAUUGGUGGAAACCGUGCCCAGAUUGGGGCAAGAAUGAGAGAACCAUGGCCUAAUGAGCAUACAGCAUCCAUGGACCCUGGUGUGGCCAUGAAGGUGUGAUUGUGCAUACAGCAUCCAUGGGCCCUAGUGUGGCCAUGAAGGUGUGAUUGUGCAUACAGCAUCCAUGGGCCCUAGUGUGGCCAUGAAGGUGUGAUUGUGCACACAGCAUCCAUGGGCCCUGGUGUGGCCAUGAAAGUGUGACUAUGCACAUAGCAUCCAUGGGCCCUGGUGUGGCCAUGAAAGUGUGACUAUGCACAUAGCAUCCAUGGGCCCUGGUGUGGCCAGGAAGGUGUGACCAUGCAUACAACAUCUGUGGGCCCUGGUGUGGAUGUGAAGGUAUGACUCUAUCUCCAGGCUGUCCUUCCUGGAGCAUCUGCCCAGAGUAGGACCUUGAUGCCUGGGCUUGGAGAGUAUCCCUCAUUACCUGCUUCCUUGAGGACCACAGUGGGGCUUGGCAUAUGGAAGUCUGUGAGCUGACUAGUUUUAUGUCAACUUGACAUAAGCUAAAGUCAUCUGAGAGGAGGGAGCCCCAAUUGAGAAAAUGCCUCCAUAAGGUUGGGCUUGGAAGAUAAGAAUGUUGAGACCAGUGCAGGCAAUGGAGGCCUGGCUUGUGAAGUUUCAGAGGAAAGCAAAGACUCUUCCAGGCCCUUAAUGUGAAGAAUCUGUGGUAUCUGGUCAGCUGGAGCUGAAGAGUCAGCCGUGAUUAACAAGAGACCAGAACCACUAAAGAAAAACCUUCUCUUUGCUGGGACAAUGGAUGCUGGGCAGCUGGGGCUGGAGAAGCAGCUGUGCUUAAGAAGAGGCCAGCAUCACUGAGGUGAUGUCUUCUGGGAAGUGUUUCCUCAGGGUCAGCACAGAGAAGCUGUGUUCCAGAGGUGGCCAAGGUUGUACCUUGUGCUAUCAGCCAAACUGGUCCUGUGUAAGAGUCAUCCAGGUAGCACUAGUUUUGAAGGCAUGAAGGGGUCAUGGAGAGCAGCUGAGGCUUCUUGGCACCGUGGCAGGAUGGAGUUCCUGAAGAGAGCCCAGGAGAGGCUAUUGGUAAAAGGGUAGACCCCAGCAUUUUGGAGAUGCUAGUAUCAUGGGAUGACCACCAAGAACAGCAGCAGCUGUGGAGUGGAGCCAGCUUGAGCCUAGAAGACAAACUUGUGUGCUGCAGAGGGCAGAGCCCAGAAGAUCGUGAGUGAGUUCCAGAUACUGGACAAUGAAUUAUUUAUGCUGUUUGUUUAUGAGUUUAUUUUGCUUUGUUCAAUUGUGACUGUGCCCUGGUUCUUUCCUCUUGAAGUAAGGAAAUAUUUAGCUUUCUUUUUAUUUUAUAAGAGCCCAUAGUUGAGAGAAUCAAUUUUAAAAAGAGAUUUUUGUUUUAAAAGAGACUUUGGAUUUUUAAAGUGAUUGAAUUUUAAAGUGUUUGAAUUUGUAAAGACCAUGGGACUUUUUAAGUUUGCAAACUGUUUUAUAUUGUUAUUGAUAUUAAUAUUGACAUUGAUAUUAAUGAUGAUCUUGGGGAUGAAUAAGAAAGGAAAGGUUGUGGCUUAACUGUGAUGUGUUUGGGUGUCAAGUUGACAAGGAGCCAAUUGUGCUGGCUAGUUUUAUGUCAACUUGACAUGAGCUAGAGUCAUCGAGAGGAGGGAACCUCAGUUGAGAAAAUGCUUCCAUAAGACCCAGCUAUGAGCAAGACUGCAGGGCAUUUUUUAAAUUAGUGUUGAUAGGGGAGGGCCCAGUCCAUUAUGGGUGGUGCCGUCCCCGAGUUCCAUAAGAAAGCAGGCUGAGCAAGCCAUGGAGCAAGCCAGUAAGCAG